GUACUCUUCGUAAAAAGAGAGAGAAAAAGAAAGAAGAACAACGUGAUGAAAAAUAUGAAUCUUUCAACCAACCAAACAGUUCAUUUCGCCAUAAAACGUUUGAAACUGAUCCAAAAACCGAGAGCCGUCGCGCGAUAUUGUCAGGCUUAACACCAUACGUCCGGGGAUUAUUGCUUUCACGUAUUCCACAGAGUUCAUUCAUUUUUAUCCCACUUAAUUUAGACCUCGUAGCCGUGUCCAUUCCCCCAGUUUCGUUCUCUUUGAGCAAAGCAAACAAACAUAGCUGGGGAAAGCGGCGGAUCGCUCGAAUUCGCAUCGAAAUCCCGCCAAUUUCGAUGGGUUGCACUUUCUCCCAGGUUCACGGACGUUCCUCUCAAACUUCUUUCUUUACCCGUCAGUCGCAUCGCGAUCGGCAAAGUUUAAAGUCGAUCCAGACGACACGGAACGUUUACGAAGCAAGCGUGCAAGAAGCAAUUAACCCUUCGCGUUCUGGGACAGAAAAAGGUUAUCGAUGCCAUGACCUGAAACGUCUUAAAAUGAUGCCUGGAAUAUCCUGCGGAAUUAAGGGAAUUUAUGUCCCCUGAAUAUUAAUAGAAGUGGAUUGAAAAUUGUAAAAAUUUUAAAUAUUCUAAAAAUCAUGUAUACUUAAUGUUAGAAUACAUGAUCUGUAGUAUAUAUGUAUUAAUUUUAGAUAAAGCGAAGUAUAAAUGUAAUGGAACUGUCUCACUUUGAAAUGCAAGAUCGGUGACCUAAAAAUUUUACUAAUCCGAAGGAUCUCGUUUCAUCUAUAUAAAAAGUAAUGAGAGCAGAUCGACAAAGAUCGGUUACAGAUCGUAUAUAAAAUCAAAGAAUAAGCAUUGUCGAGGAAUUUUACUACUUUCACCCGAUUUUCUCCACUAUUCUUCUUCAAAAUUCAAAAACAAUGCUGGUAACACGAAUAACCAUGCGUAACAUUAUUUCAAAAAGGAUUUUAGAAUCACUUGAAAUUAUAAUGAUCUAAGUAUACUUAAACAUAGUAUUGGAGGUUGUUAAAAUACAGCUGAUCGCUAAAGCAGUUCGUGGAAGACUGAUUAGAUGAAAUUAUGUAAAUUGCUAUGAAACAUUGCCAAUAAAUGGUUAACCUAAUCAUUCCAUCGUUACGCUUCACGACAGAAGCCUCCCUUUUCUCUCAAUUUUAUUUACAUAGGAAUCAGAGGCUUAUCUUUCCAAUGGUAGCAUAAGAUGGCCGGAUAAGAAGCUGGCAAGAGAAAGGAAACGAAGGUUCUAAGGUGAAAGCUGAAUAAAUUCCAUCGUUGCUCUUGUAUUCUAUUAUUUUAAUCUUUUUUAUCCGGAAGAUUCAUCGGCUGUGAAUUAGUGGGAACUUCUGGUGAAACUAUAUAUACGACUUCAAUUAUGACACGCACCGGAAGUUGAAGAAUCUUGCGCUCGAAAGCGCGUUAAAUUUUCAGGAAAUUGAAAUAAUUGCUUCGAGUAAAGGCGAUAAAUUAAUUUUGAGAAUCUGAAAAUAAUUUGUUAGUUUGGAUAUGUAUUUUAUAACUUAAUUUGCCUAUCUUUUCUGUCGAAAUCAAAAAUUUAAUAUAAGAUUGAUUUAUCUAAGAAUUAAGAGGUUAAUUUUCAAUUUGACACGAUAUUUUGAUAAGACGAAGAGAUUUUUCUGAACCUGAAGAACAUACACGACGAGGAACAUGAAGUGUUCUGCUCGCAUAUAUGCUGCACGUGACUAAAAUACACUUCCUUGCUUGGUCGAGUCAAAAAUAAAAAUACAACUCGUUGACGAUCGAUUUCGAUGUUCUGGAAUCGAGACAAAAAUUUCACUUUCGUAAAAAUUGUUGUCUAAGAAUUAAAAAUUCAAAUUUUCUUUUCUAAAAGUAAAAAUAAUUAAUUAACAAAAAAUAUUUAUUAGAUAAUAAUAAUUAUCAAAUUACGAAUUAUAAUUAUUGAUGAAUUAUUUCAUACAUUUAUUUAAUAUAUAUAUGAUAAAAUCACAAACGAUUUUUUAUUUGAAAAUUUUUAUGUAUAACUUAAUAUAAUGUAAAAACGAUAUAUAUAUAUUUAUUUUCAUAAAUAAAAAUUAAAACAAAA